AGCAAUCUGCCUUGGAGUGGGGAAUAACGGCUGGAAACAGCCGCUAAUACCGCAUGAAGCAGCUGGGAGGCAUCUCCCUGGCUGUCAAAGAUUUAUCGCUCUGAGAUGAGCUCGCGUCUGAUUAGCUAGUUGGCGGGGUAACGGCCCACCAAGGCGACGAUCAGUAGCCGGACUGAGAGGUUGGCCGGCCACAUUGGGACUGAGACACGGCCCAGACUCCUACGGAAGGCAGCAG
rnacentral:rRNA from 1 species